rnacentral:rRNA from 1 species
UACAGAGGCCUCGAGCGUUAGGCGGAAUCACUGGGCUUAAAGCGUGUGUAGGCGGAUGCCUAAGUGCUUUGUGAAAUCCCACGGCUCAACCGUGGAAUUGCUUGGCAUACUGGGUGUCUUGAGCCAUCUAGGGGCGAGCGGAACAAGUGGUGGAGCGGUGAAAUUCGUAGAUAUCGAGAAGAACACCGGUGGCGAAGGCGGCCAUCUGGACAGAUACUGACGCUGAGACGCGAAAGCGUGGGGAGCAAACAGG